rnacentral:lncRNA from 1 species
GAAGUUCAUCAGAAGUGCUGUUCUUCAGAGGCCCUCGUUUCAGUUCCAAGUCUAACUCUAGUCCCAGGAGAUCCGCUACCCUCUUAUGGUGUCCAUGAGCACCAGGCAUGCAUGAAGUGCACAGAGAUACAUGCAGGCAAGAUGCCAUAAAUCUUUUUAAGUGUUAAGUUUCUAUAAAAAACUCAAACCAGGUUGUGGUGGGGGAUAUUCAAAGGAAAAAAAAAUGCAGAAGACAAAUCCCAUAUACUGUGAGCUUAAAACAUGAAAGAAAAAUGCAAGUUUCUGAUAAGGCUUGUGAUGGUGUCUUGGUGGUUAACCUGACAGAUUUAGAACCACCAUCGACUCUGGGCACUCUGUGAGGGACCUAGAUUAGGUUGGGAAUAAGAGAGACCUUGCACUUGGGCAGCACCACCCCAGAGCCUGGAGUCCUACAGCCAAGCUGGAGCAGUCACACUGGGCUCCUUCAAUAAGGACAGUGUGACCGGCCUUCUCAAGCCUCUCACAUGACUCUCUACAAGGAUGCACCCUUGUAGAGAGAACUAAGCAAGUUCCCCACCCAGACAGCAUCUGCCAAGUAUUCUGUUGCAACAGCAAAUGAGCUACUCUGCUACAAAGCCUAGGAGGGAAACCUAAACAGUGUCUAACUGUGUGAGAAGAUGCAGGGCGGUCCAAAUUAAAACUACAGCAGAGUAAGCCAGCCACAUCACAAGUCAAUAUACAAGUACCUAGUAAGCACACAAAAGGUAUUCAAAGCAGCUGGUCAUUAGAGAGAUUCCAAGGAAAUACUCAAAGGACUAUCUACCUACACACAUACUAGCCAGGCUAUUGCCACAAGCUGUGAUCCGAGUAGCAAGGAUUUGCAGCAACUGCAACCCUCAGACUCUGCUCACUGAGUACACCGUGGCAGAAAUUUGCAAAACUAGCAGUUUCUUUUUGAGUUAAAUAUACAUCAGUGCUAAAAACGAGCAAGUUCACUUCUUAAGUUUCAGAGAAACUUACACAAAAGCAACAUCGUCAUUCACGAUACCUAGGACCAGAAACCCAGUCCAUGAAAAGCAGAAUAGGAAAUAAGUCUUGUCCCUUAUAUCACAGAAAAUGCUUCAAAUGGAGGGCUGGGGACAGGGAUCAGUUUGGUUAAGUGUCUGCUGUAUAGGCAUGAAGACCAGAGUCUGGAAGUCUCCCCACACCUAACCCCAAACAAGCAAGGGUCUAGAGGAAGCAGAAAAAAGAAACCUAGCUAGAACAGCAAGCCCAAGUUCAGUGAAAGGCCCUGUAUCAAAAGAACUGAAGAAGAUGCCUGACAACCUCUGACCUCACGCAUGCACUUAGACAGACAGACAGACAGACAGAACAUAAAUGAAUCUCAAAACCACAUUUAUGUUGAGUGAAAGAGCUAAAAGACAAAAUGGGCAACCAUUCUGGAACUGACAGGCAAGACUAACCGCACAAGUCAGAAGAGGAGUUCUGGGACAUUGUCAGGAAAGAAUAAAGAAACUACUAAGGUUCAAAGAUGGAGUAACACCAUGACCAAAGCAACUUUUAUAAAAGGAAGCAUUUAACUGGGGGCUUGUUUAUAGUUUCAGAGGCUUAGUCUAUCAUCAUGGCUGGGAGCACAGAGGCGGACAGGCAUGGUGCUGGAGGAGUAGCUGUGAACUACACCCAGACCCACCAGCAUUGAGGGAGACUGGGCUAGGCAUGGGCUUUUGAAACCUAAAAGCCCAUCCAUCCUCAAUGACAAACUUCCUCCAACAAGGCCACACCUUGUAAUCCUUUCAAACAGUUCCUCUCCCAGGAGACCAGGCAUUCCGAGAGGCUAUGGGGCCUUUCUUAUUUAAAUCAACACAACCAGC